UGCAGCAGCUAAAAGAAAAUGAGUCAUCCCCUGAAAUGAAAAAGUUUGGAGCAAAUAUUAAGAAACAAGAUUUUAAAAAGCGGCAGAACAGAUCUGUGACAUUGAGCAAAGAUGCAAUACAACCAUCUUCGGAGGAAAAGGGUACAAUUACAGAAAUUCAUAUAAAAAAACACGUACAAAUCGAAUGCUCUAUUCGAUCCAUAUGGCAAGGUACCAGUAAAGAAAAAAAUUGAAGCAUUUGUACAGGCAGACACGAACACUUCAAAACUUGCUCAACCAGAAUAACUAGAACAAAAACACGAGAACAAAACACUAGAGCUGCUUCACAAACAGAAGCUUCGGAAAACGCAAGCAUUGGAGAGAUAGCGAUUGCUCAUAAAUUAGCACAAAAAUCACAUUUAGCAAAAUAAAUGCAAGAGAAACAGCGCCAAAAAUGAAGAAGAAACGUCUAGCUCGAUUACAACGAUCUCAGGAAAAGGAAAAAAGAAGAAAAGAAGAAGAGCAACAGCGUUUACAACGUUUACAAGAACAAGAAAAGGCAGAACGAAUACUAAACUGAACAAAAAUGUCGAGAACAAGAAGCUGAAAGACGAAAAGAAGAAGCUAAACGACAAGCUGAAGCUGAAGUAAGGAAAAACAUCAGAUGCUUACAUCACAGAGGAACACCUCUAGCAAAUCUAUAACCACAAGCUAUUCCCUGGAAUCACCCUUAUCUACAACGACGCCGGUACUUUGUCAAACGUCAAAUCAAGUCACGAUCCCAGUCACGACGCAGAAUGCUGCUUCUACACCAAGAGUCAUGAACAAGAGAACGCGAUUCGGGCAGAUCAUCGGGGAGAGCUCAGUCUCCUAAUCAACUACAAAACUCCGCGUCGUGUUUGACGAACCUACACCAAGCAACACCGGAGUUCCUUUCAACGAUACCUCCUGGGUCGACCUGUUCUACGAUACUUCGUGGGCAGUGGUGUUACACGACUCUUCCUCAGCCGACGUGUCCCAUAACACCUUCCGGGCCGACAUGUUCCAUGAUACUUCAUGGAGAGAGAUGUUCCAUGACACUUCCUGGGCCGAGAUGUUCCACGACACCUCCUGAGACGAGGUGUUCAACAAUACUUCCUGGACCGAGGUAGUCACCGACAUUUCCAGAGUUGAUGCGUUCCACGACACGUCCUGGGUCGUGAACUCCAGUAUGAAAUUUAUUGGCCACGAUAAGGUCGGCGAUUAACCGCACUACGAGGUAGACGACAAGCCCUCAACACAACGGCCCUUCAGCCGUAUCAUCAGAUUCGCUCUGGCGGCGACUGCAUCAUCUGAAAUAUAUGUCGAUGUCCAUCGGGGCCUUUCUUUUGGAAUUUUUGGGAAGAUCCCCAAUACUUUAGUCUAGACUAUUUAUUAUAGGUGUACUUAAACAAUAAAACUUAGAAGUAGUUGUUAUGAUUCAAUCCGAUUAUGUUAGGUCCUAGAUUUGUGACAGUGGGCUUGGGCUCGAGGUGACACAACUGGUCGCUGAACGUAGCUGCGGUCAGGGAUGAACGUUUUUACCUAACAGAGAAGUGCCAAUAUUGUGGGACACAAGUUGUAUUAACAAUCAAACCCCGGGCAGGAGCAAUGUCAGCUCUACACGGGUCUGCCUACCAACUGCGGCUGGAAUUUUGUUGGU